rnacentral:rRNA from 1 species
GAUGAACGCUGGCGGCGUGCCUAAUACAUGCAAGUCGAGCGAACAGAUAAGGAGCUUGCUCCUUUGAAGUUAGCGGCGGACGGGUGAGUAACACGUGGGUAACCUACCUAUAAGACUGGGAUAACUUCGGGAAACCGGAGCUAAUACCGGAUAACAUUUAGAACCGCAUGGUUCUAAAGUGAAAGAUGGUUUUGCUAUCACUUAUAGAUGGACCCGCGCCGUAUUAGCUAGUUGGUAAGGUAACGGCUUACCAAGGCGACGAUACGUAGCCGACCUGAGAGGGUGAUCGGCCACACUGGAACUGAGACACGGUCCAGACUCCUACGGGAGGCAGCAGUAGGGAAUCUUCCGCAAUGGGCGAAAGCCUGACGGAGCAACGCCGCGUGAGUGAUGAAGGGUUUCGGCUCGUAAAACUCUGUUAUUAGGGAAGAACAAAUGUGUAAGUAACUGUGCACAUCUUGACGGUACCUAAUCAGAAAGCCACGGCUAACUACGUGCCAGCAGCCGCGGUAAUACGUAGGUGGCAAGCGUUAUCCGGAAUUAUUGGGCGUAAAGCGCGCGUAGGCGGUUUCUUAAGUCUGAUGUGAAAGCCCACGGCUCAACCGUGGAGGGUCAUUGGAAACUGGGAAACUUGAGUGCAGAAGAGGAAAGUGGAAUUCCAUGUGUAGCGGUGAAAUGCGCAGAGAUAUGGAGGAACACCAGUGGCGAAGGCGACUUUCUGGUCUGUAACUGACGCUGAUGUGCGAAAGCGUGGGGAUCAAACAGGAUUAGAUACCCUGGUAGUCCACGCCGUAAACGAUGAGUGCUAAGUGUUAGGGGGUUUCCGCCCCUUAGUGCUGCAGCUAACGCAUUAAGCACUCCCCCCUGGGGAGUACGACCGCAAGGUUGAAACUCAAAGGAAUUGACGGGGACCCGCACAAGCGGUGGAGCAUGUGGUUUAAUUCGAAGCAACGCGAAGAACCUUACCAAAUCUUGACAUCCUUUGAAAACUCUAGAGAUAGAGCCUUCCCCUUCGGGGGACAAAGUGACAGGUGGUGCAUGGUUGUCGUCAGCUCGUGUCGUGAGAUGUUGGGUUAAGUCCCGCAACGAGCGCAACCCUUAAGCUUAGUUGCCAUCAUUAAGUUGGGCACUCUAGGUUGACUGCCGGUGACAAACCGGAGGGAGGUGGGGAUGACGUCAAAUCAUCAUGCCCCUUAUGAUUUGGGCUACACACGUGCUACAAUGGACAAUACAAAGGGCAGCUAAACCGCGAGGUCAUGCAAAUCCCAUAAAGUUGUUCUCAGUUCGGAUUGUAGUCUGCAACUCGACUACAUGAAGCUGGAAUCGCUAGUAAUCGUAGAUCAGCAUGCUACGGUGAAUACGUUCCCGGGUCU